rnacentral:rRNA from 1 species
GACGAACGCUGGCGGCGUGCUUAACACAUGCAAGUCGAACGGAAAGGCUCCAGCUUGCUGGAGUACUCGAGUGGCGAACGGGUGAGUAACACGUGGGUAAUCUGCCCUGCACUCUGGGAUAAGCCUGGGAAACUGGGGCUAAUACUGGAUAUGACCUUUCUCCUUAUGGGGUUGGGUGGAAAGUUUUUCGGUGUAGGAUGAGCCCGCGGCCUAUCCGCUUGUUGGUGGGGUGAUGGCCUACCAAGGCGACGACGGGUAGCCGGCCUGAGAGGGUGAUCGGCCACAUUGGGACUGAGAUACGGCCCAGACUCCUACGGGAGGCAGCAGUGGGGAAUAUUGCACAAUGGGCGGAAGCCUGAUGCAGCGACGCCGCGUGAGGGAUGACGGCCUUCGGGUUGUAAACCUCUUUCAGCAGGGACGAAGCGUAAGUGACGGUACCUGCAGAAGAAGCACCGGCUAACUAUGUG